rnacentral:rRNA from 1 species
CAAGACAACUUUACGGAGUUGACGAUUGACGGAGCGAAGCGACGUCAAAGCGUUCAUUAAAGUCGAGUUGGCUUAGGGAUACGUUCGUUGGGUAGGGGAGCGUUCUGUAAGCCUGUGAAGGUGUGUCGUGAGGCAUGCUGGAGGUAUCAGAAGUGCGAAUGCUGACAUAAGUAACGAUAAAGCGGGUGAAAAGCCCGCUCGCCGGAAGACCAAGGGUUCCUGUCCAACGUUAAUCGGGGCAGGGUGAGUCGACCCCUAAGGCGAGGCCGAAAGGCGUAGUCGAUGGGAAACGGGUUAAUAUUCCCGUACUUGGUGUUACUGCGAAGGGGGGACGGAGAAGGCUAUGUUGGCCGGGCGACGGUUGUCCCGGUUUAAGCGUGUAGGUGUGUGUUCCAGGUAAAUCCGGUUCACUUUAACACUGAGGCGUGACGACGAGGCACUACGGUGCUGAAGCAACAAAUGCCCUGCUUCCAGGAAAAGCCUCUAAGCAUCAGGUAACAUCAAAUCGUACCCCAAACCGACACAGGUGGUCAGGUAGAGAAUACCAAGGCGCUUGAGAGAACUCGGGUGAAGGAACUAGGCAAAAUGGUGCCGUAACU